CACAAGUAGAUGGAGAGGCAGCCAGAGAGAGAGAGGGAAGCAGGUUCUCCGCUGAGCAGAGAGCCCGAUGCGGGACUCGAUCCAAGGACUCUGAGAUCAUGACCUGAGCCGAAGGCAGCGGCUUAACCCACUGAGCCACCCAGGCGCCCCGGCAUGUUUGGUAGGAAUGCUGGAAUGAUAGCUGAACUUGGAGAUUCCAUCUUGGACUACAAGGUAACCAUGGGAAUGGAGGCCAUGCAGGGCAGAACUGCAAGCUGGAGCCUAUAUUUCCAAGGACUUUUUAGCCUAUCUCCCCAACCAACAUUAGCUUCAUGA
rnacentral:lncRNA from 1 species